rnacentral:rRNA from 1 species
UACGUAGGGUGCGAGCGUUGUCCGGAAUUAUUGGGCGUAAAGGGCUCGUAGGCGGUUUGCCGCGUCGGGAGUGAAAUCCACUGGCUUAACUGGUGGCUUGCUUUCGAUACGGGCAGACUGGAGGUAUGCAGGGGAGAACGGAAUUCCUGGUGUAGCGGUGAAAUGCGCAGAUAUCAGGAGGAACACCGGUGGCGAAGGCGGCGUCCUGGACCAAUACUGACACUGAAACGCGAAAGCCAGGGGAGCAAACGGG